rnacentral:rRNA from 1 species
UGCGAAAUUCCUUGUCGGGUAAGUUCCGACCUGCACGAAUGGCGUAACGACUUCCGCGCUGUCUCGACCAGGGACUCGGCGAAAUCGACAUGGGGGUGAAGAUGCCCUCUACCCGCAGCCAGACGGAAAGACCCUGUGAACCUUUACUCUAGCUUGACAGUGGUAUUCGGAGCAGCUUGUGUAGGAUAGGUGGGAGACUGUGAAACCGGUGCGCUAGCGUCGGUGGAGUCAUCCUUGAAAUACCACCCUGGUUGUUUUGAAUGCCUAACCCCUUCGGGGAGACAUUGUCUGGUGGGGAGUUUGACUGGGGCGGUCGCCUCCUAAAGUGUAACGGAGGCGCACAAAGGUCCCCUCAGCCUGAUCGGAAACCAGGCGCAGAGUGCAAUGGCAUAAGGGGGCUUGACUGCAAGAUUGACAGAUCAAGCAGGUGGGAAACCAGGUCAUAGUGAUCCGGCGGUUCCGUAUGGAAGGGCCGUCGCUCAACGGAUAAAAGGUACUCCGGGGAUAACAGGCUUAUCGCGCCCAAGAGUUCAUAUCGACGGCGCGGUUUGGCACCUCGAUGUCGGCUCAUCGCAUCCUGGGGCUGGAGCAGGUCCCAAGGGUUUGGCUGUUCGCCAAUUAAAGCGGUACGCGAGCUGGGUUUAGAACGUCGUGAGACAGUUCGGUCCCUAUCUGCUGUGGGCGUAGGAGAGUUGAGAGGAGCUGACCUUAGUACGAGAGGACCGGGUUGGACGUACCGCUAGUGUUCCGGUUGUUGCGCCAGCAGCAUUGCCGGGUAGCCACGUACGGACAGGAUAACCGCUGAAAGCAUCUAAGCGGGAAGCCUCCCUCAAGAUGAGCUCUCCCUGAAGAACCCAAGAAGACUACUUGGUCGAUAGGCAGGACGUGUAAGCACAGCAAUGUGUUUAGCGAACCUGUAAGAUCGGAAGAGCGUCGUGUAGGG